rnacentral:rRNA from 1 species
CAGUCGCCGCGGUAAUACAGAGGAUGCAAGCGUUAUCCGGAAUAAUUGGGCGUAAAGCGUGCGUAGGCGGCUUCUUAAGUCGGAUGUGAAAUCCCUGAGCUUAACUUAGGAAUUGCAUUCGAUACUGGGAAGCUAGAGUAUGGGAGAGGAUGGUAGAAUUCCAGGUGUAGCGGUGAAAUGCGUAGAGAUCUGGAGGAAUACCGAUGGCGAAGGCAGCCAUCUGGCCUAAUACUGACGCUGAGGUACGAAAGCAUGGGGAGCAAACAGGAUUAGAUACCCGAGUAGUCCCUGUCUCUUAUAA